AUUCAUAGAGGGAAGCAUGUAGCUUCAAUUUCUUGUAUCAGAGCAAUGAUCCAUGGCUGAGGGGACCUAUUCACCAGAGUGGAGAAAGGAGAUCACUUCUAUGGUUCUUGAAGCUGAGCGUAGACAAGAAGCCAGAUUGCAAGAUAUGGUGGCGAAACUCAGAAUGUUGAUUGCUGGAUUGAAUAGGCCAAAUGUGGAAGUGGAAGAAACAAGGGAUAAGGUAGAGCAAGUGCAAGCCAAAGGGAAUAUUGGUGAUGGCAACCCAUAGGGAAGCACUACCAAAUUAAAGUUUCCUCGCUUUGAUGGUUAAGGACGACAGGGAUGGUUGUUAAGAUGCGAAUAUUUUUUCCAGGUGAGGAAAAUAGUUCUUGAGAACAUGGUGAAGGUUGCAGCUUUGCAUUUGGAAGGAAAAGUAAAUAAAUGGCACCAAGGGGUUAUUCAAGUGAAGGGUAAUGAAGCGUAUGGGAAUUGGGAUGAAUAUGUCGAUGCAUAGGAGGUCAGGUUUGGAAAUUAUGCCAUCAAUGACCCAAUUGGAAAGAUGCAAGACUUGAAGCAGUCAAAUUCCUUGCAAGAUUAUCUCAUUCCUUUUGAUGAGCUUUACCCAAAGGUAUGGCUAUUGCCUCGAAGAUCCUGGUGGAUUUUCCAAAAAAGUAAAUGAAUUAAGUACAACAAAUAGGAAUAGAAGUAUGCCUCUUGAUAUGGGUAAACGGGCUGGGUCAUUGAAACAAUCACUUUGCAGGUGAUAUUGAAACGAACAACGAAUUGAUUGGAAUGUUUAGAAAAUGUGGGAGUACGAGAGUUGCACACUGGGUGUUUGAUAGAAUGCUAAAGAGGGAUAUGGGUUCUUGGCGCUUGUUAGCAGAUUCACGACUUGUGGCUGACAAUUUAUCUAUUGUGAAAGCUACACUCAGGCCAUUUGGGAACAAGCAUAUACAUAUGCAUGUUUUAAUGGGUCCUAGUUUUCAAGCUGAUAACAGAAUGAAAUUGAAACUUGAACUAGACCUCUUGUUCUUCUAUUGUUGGAAAUUUGAUGAUAUGGGUGAGAAAAUUUUAUUUGAAGAAGAAAUGAGAUUUAAGAAUAUGAUGAGAUUGGGAGAUGGGCAGCAUCACGUUGAUGGGAAUUUCAGUGGUUUAAUUUUAAUGCUCAAGGAGAAUGAGUAUGAAAUGGGGCUAAGACAAGUGAAGAAAAUGUGCUCCUUGUCAACAAUGAAGUCAAGUGUGGAAAUAUGUCAGGGAGUCGUGUCUACAUUCUUUAGUUCCUUGAGUACGAGGAACUUUUAGAGGGGUGGUUACUGAAGCGAUACGCAACAAGAAUUAAAGGGAAAGAAAGAUUAAAAUUAUAAAGUUGUUAUCGAGUAUCCAACUCAACUAUCCGUUACACAAGCAGUUGUAGUUGUUGGAGUUUAGUUAGAGAAUUGUUAAAUGGGUGGGAGAGCUUUUUGAUGGUUAGAGAUUUUUUUUCGGUCGUAAAGAUAAAAACGCACACACAGUGCUCUGAAAUAAGACUCGUUACUUGGUAAAAUCAUAGUAAUUUUAUUAAAAUCUCUCAUCUCAUAUAAGUGUUGUGUACACACACUCUAUAAUCUAUAUGAGAUCAUGAAAGAUCGAUAGUUAUAGAUUAAAAUAUAUAAUGAAAGACACUUAGUAUAAUAAUGUAUGACUUAAUUCUUCAA
rnacentral:misc_RNA from 1 species